GACAGCAGGCAGCCAUAGCUGAUGCUGGUCACCCUUCCCCCAGGGAGUUCCAUUAGGCUUAAGCAGAUUCAAGCUGAGAGGCUGUAAGCAUCUGUGCGUUCUGUGGUUGGGACGCUAGACUCUGGUGGCGUGGGUUCGCGAAUGGGAUCUUCCAAUCCAUGGGUUGCACAGUUCCAUGGCAAAAGCAUAGUUUCCCUGGCAGGGUAGCACACUUACCACCUCCCUUGGCUGGGGGGAGGAGGUUCCCCUUGCCCGUGUGGCUCUCAGGUGUGCCACUGCAGCACACUGUUGUUCCUUCUCUUCGUGGUCAAUUUUUUUGUUGAGAGAGCCCUGUAGUCAAUUUUGAUGAGAAAACGUGGAUACCUUGGUUGCUGGUAAAGGAUUCACACACUUAUUAUGUUUUUUUUUUUUCACUGGGAGCCUCUGAACGUUGCUGCUUCUGGUCGGCCAUCUUGGCCCUGCCCCCACAGUAAUCUCAUUUUAGUAAGACUUUUCCACAACUGUCUACUGAUUAUUUAUUACUUAUCUGUGUGGUAGAAUUGACAAACAAUCACUUUUUAACAAACUUUGAUUUCUUCAUUUACAUUCAAGAACAUUGAAUUCUACUGAUGUGUGUUGAUCCCUUCUCUGUGUUACUUGUGUUCACAAGAGUCACCUCAUUUUAUUUGUAACCCCACGAGGUAAGGAAGAGUUGACCCAUUUUUGCAGAAUUAGGAAUGGAGUCUCAGAGAGGCCAAGAGCUGACGCAAUCAAGAGUUCAACUGAGAUUUGAAAGUAGCCCUUCUGAUUCUAAGUCCUUCCAUUGCAGCCCAGCUGCCUGCUUCAGACAUAAGCUACCCCAUGUGCUUAAAAGAGCCCCAUACAGCAUCCAUGCAUAUGACUAAGCCUUGCUGUGGAAAAGGAUACCUUGUGAAGGUCUCUACUGCGUGGAGGUUGGCACAAACAGGCAGGCUCACCUGGCAUUUCUACCCAUGCUUGAGACAGGAUGCCAAAAAAGGGCACUUCUUAAAGAAACAUGGAAAGAUAGAUCCAAGGGAAAAAGCAUUUAAGGCCUUGGGGUGAUGGAGCUGUUCUAAAAUUAGGUUGGGAUAGUGGUGGCACAACUUUAGUAAGUAGACUACAACUAUUAAAUUGUGUACUGUAUGUCGAUUUUGUGUGCCAACCUGGCUUGGCUGUUAGUACUCAUGUAGUUUAUGUCGUUUUCUUUGUUACCAUUGUUGGAGUCAUUAGUUUUUGGAAAACCAGGUUGGAACAUGCUGGGAAAGCAUCCUUCCCAGGCCUAUCCCUCUCGUCUGUCUCCUGCCAAUACAGUCCUCCAACAGGCAGAAGCAACCUGGUGCUUCUAUGAGGGACCUGGAGAACUUUGCCUGAGGCUUUGCAUCUUCUUAGCUCCUUCCCACCUCCUCCAGCUGCUGCCUGUGCCACAGGCGCCUUCUCCUCUGCCACUCUGAUGAACAUCAAGGUGCAGUUCCACUUUCUGCUAUCAUUUCUCGUGGGUGGAUGCCAUCAAUCUUGUCUUCUGUGUUCUAAUGAACCUAUAGCUCCCAACUACUCCCAACAUCAAAAUAUGUCCUACAGGUUAGAAUUUUGUUGCUACUUCUGAUUUCUCUUUGACUGCUCCUUCCUGUGCCCAAGGCCUCUCAGAAUUCCUUAACUGACCUAUCCAUGGUACUCAGUUCCAUGUCAGAGUGGACUGCCAUACUAGGAAACCUUUCUUCUAUUCUCUGUUGGAAGAUCAAAUCUAUGCCAUGCCCUCUCUUCAUUUGAUCUCUUCUUCCACUCUCUGACAUUCCUACUUAAAACAGUAAAAAACAAAAACAAAGAAUUAAGAAAGAGUAUGGAAGCUGUCCAUGCAAAUUAGCACAGGCUCACAAACUUGGGGGUCCUUGGGCCAUGAUUCAACAUAGAAGAAAAAUUUAGCCUGACACAUAAGCGUUUCCUUAGGCAUCUGGACAACCUCUUCCCUCAUCAACAAGCCAACCCUGCCAAGUCUAAAGAAGGGGUCAGUUUUGUAAAAGCCUUAUUAUACAGGAAGAGAUUUCUAUUCAGUUUCCCUGCAAAGGCAGAGCACCCAUCAGAUAAGCAACCCGGGCUGUUGAGAGGAAGAUGUUAACUGACCCCCAAGGCAGGACCAGGUGCUGAAGUCCUGCUCUUUCAGAGAUGAUGAACCAGAGAAUACUGUGUCACUGCUUGUUCCAUUCCUGUGCGGGUACUGGCAAUCGGAAAAGCUGGGAUUCAAAUCCAAGUCUGUGUCUCCAAAAGUCCAUGUUGAAGCUGUUCUUGUUGCUGAAUUUAAUGAACCUCUAACACAUGAUCCAAUGGAGAAAGUGAAAAGUGUUGUCCCUGAGCUGGUCCGCAGAGCUGGUUAUCAAGAGUAGUCUACGAAGUCAGAGAACCAGAGACUAUGAUCCUUCCAUCCCCCUCUGGGCAUCCUCCUCAGCUUCAAGAGCUACAGAUGCAAAAGCAUGAAUGAAGUCCUGCCUGUGUUGCCUGACUUCGUCACUGAGACCAGGAGGAGACCCCAUGCGGAAUCAACUAGCAAACACAAACAGCUGCCCGGUGCUGCAGGGCAAACAGACUUGAUGAUGAAAUUCUCAAAAUUCAUCAUUGCCUAAUUUUUUUUUUUUUUUUAGAAAUAUGCACCAUUUUGUUAGCCAAAGUGCAGAUUUUCUUAGAGAAAACAGGAAAAUUAUUGAUAUGGGUACACUCACAAUGUGCUAAAUACAAACUAAACAGAUAACCCAUAAGGCAGAAAAUCUAACCCCUCCCUGUCUCCAUUUCUGCCUUUGUCCCUUUCCAUCUGCAUGGCUGUCCCCCGCCCUGACAAGUGCUCUUCCUCUCCCAAGAGCACUGUGGGGGUCCAGCCAGGGAACACCACCCUCCUUAUCCCUUAGUCCUUCCUGCUGCUCACAGAGGAAUUUUCUGGAGCUGGGCUCUAAUCAGUGCACAGAGGUGGGAUGGAGAUGAGUUUUUUUUUUUAAUAUAAUUUAUCACACAUUUGCACCCAUUGUUCUCCCAACCAGAUUGCAAACCACUAGGAUACAGGGUCAUGUCUAGUUUCUCUGGCCUGCCCUCCCCUCCCCAGGUCCCAAAUUAGACAUGGCAGAGUACCUUGACUACACUGGGCUGGCAAUUCAUGUUUUACACUGAAUAAGUAGAUAAGGCACAAUUGUCUAUUUUUAUGUUGUUUUUUGGCAGGUCCCUGCCAGACUUCGUAGGCAUAAACUAUGGGAUACAUCUCGUGUGCAUCCAAGUGAGAGAGAGGACAGUAAAACACAGUUAUCUACACAGACAGGGAAAAUCACACUCACACAUACACACACACACACACACACACACACACACACAAUUUCAUUUAAUCAAGUGCACGUUGGAAAUAGAAAGCAUGAAGUUGAAAGUACUCCAGCUCUAUUUAGCCAACACUAAACCAUAAGAGGGACCUCAGCCUUUAACACAUGGCCGGGUUUGACAACUCUUUGGUUCCAGACUGACUUCCCAACUGACCAGUUGCUUUUGCGUCUUUUAGGUUCAGCUUCACCUUGAAUCCCAACUUCCUCCCUCCCCCUCCCUACUUCCCUGGGCGUUCUCUGGCUUUUCAGCCCUGGUGUGAGCCAAGCAAAGCUCAAUUAGCUAAUGAGGUGCCCAAGACCAGCACCAAGACUGUCUCCAAGGGCCAACCAGGCCAUUAACUGCCAUCAUCAGUGUAAAUUUACAACCUCGCCUACCACAUGGAGUGCGGGGAUGCUGUGAAGUUCUGCCAACCUUUUGGCUGACAGGGAUACAGAGAAGUGCUGGCAAGGCAAAAACAGAGUAAAUUAAAAAUAUGCUUCAAUCUAUAGGCUCUAUUUAUCUAUGUCUUUCUUUAGUAAUAUAACAUUAAGGUAAAAGGUCAUAGCCCUACUGAAAUAUAAUUUAUAUUUACCUUUUAUUAAAUAAUUAUGGCAUGGCAUGAAGUUAAAUAUUACAGAAGCUAAUCAAGAGGGAAUUCAAGAGAGAAAACUCAGACAUGAGAAUUUCGUCUUUGCUAUACAUAGAAUGUCUUAAUCCUCCACUGGGAGUCAUUCGGGUUUGCUUAAGGAGUUUAAUAAUACACAUUUCAACUGCCACAGAAUCUAAAUCCCAUUUGGAUCAGCCUUGAAAAACUUUCAUCAAUACCUUGAGAUUUCAUAAUAUUUCUCUUGAGAGCCUGGAUCUCAUGUGCCAUUUCUCAUUUUGAUUGCGGGUAUAAUUAUGAGAUUACUUACAUAUAUCUUGGACCC